CUACGGGUGGCUCCAGUGGGGAAUAUUGCACAAUGGAGGAAACUCUGAUGCAGCAACGCCGCGUGGAGGAUGACACUUUUCGGAGCGUAAACUCCUUUUAUAUAGGAAGAUAAUGACGGUACUAUAUGAAUAAGCACCGGCUAACUCCGUGCCAGCAGCCGCGGUAAUACGGAGGGUGCAAGCGUUACUCGGAAUCACUGGGCGUAAAGAGCGUGUAGGCGGGUUAAUAAGUCAGAAGUGAAAUCCUAUGGCUCAACCAUAGAACUGCUUUUGAAACUGUUAACCUAGAGUGUGGGAGAGGUAGAUGGAAUUUCUGGUGUAGGGGUAAAAUCCGUAGAGAUCAGAAGGAAUACCGAUUGCGAAGGCGAUCUACUGGAACAUAACUGACGCUGAGACGCGAAAGCGUGGGGAGCAAACAGGAUUAGAUACCCUAGUAGUC
rnacentral:rRNA from 1 species